UACGGAGGGAGCUAGCGUUGUUCGGAAUUACUGGGCGUAAAGCGCACGUAGGCGGCUUUGCAAGUUAGAGGUGAAAGCCCGGGGCUCAACUCCGGAAUUGCCUUUAAAACUGCAUCGCUAGAGUUGUGGAGAGGUAAGUGGAAUUCCGAGUGUAGAGGUGAAAUUCGUAGAUAUUCGGAAGAACACCAGCGGCGAAGGCGACUUACUGGACACAUACUGACGCUGAGGUGCGAAAGCGUGGGGAGCAAACAGG
rnacentral:rRNA from 1 species